GUCCACAAACAAACUUUUACUAAAUCAAUUUUCAAAUUGUCCAAACCAUCACUAUUCAUCUCUCUUCACUAGAUUCUACAAUUUUGUUGCAGAAAAAUUCCACAAGAUACAAGCUAGGGUUCAACAAUGUUGAAUUAGAAAGGGGAGAAAAUAAUAACCCAUACACAGAAAUUUGAGUGGUCCUACAUUCACAAGGAAAGACAAUAUGUUCAAUGUCAUUGCCCAGUUGAACAAAUGAAUUCAACCCCAAAUUUUGCAAAGAAGGGCAUAAAGCAUGAUGGAAUUCUAGAUACCACGAAAAGCAUAAUUCAACAUUAGCAAUGCUGCUUCUAGUGUUAGAAGCUUAAGGUUUCUUGGACCUCAUACCUUAUCUGUCAAAUAAUAAGGAUGUUACUCUUCUUAUAAUUUU
rnacentral:misc_RNA from 1 species